rnacentral:rRNA from 1 species
CUAUCCGAAGGAUAGCUAAUACCGCAUACGACCCGAGGGUGAAAGCGGGGGGACCGAAAGGCCUCGCGCGAUUGGAGCGGCCGAUAUCGGAUUAGCUAGUUGGUGAGGUAAAAGGCUCACCAAGGCGACGAUCCGUAGCUGGUCUGAGAGGACGACCAGCCACACUGGAACUGAGACACGGUCCAGACUCCUACGGGAGGCAGCAGUGGGGAAUUUUGGACAAUGGGGGCAACCCUGAUCCAGCCAUUCCGCGUGAGUGAAGAAGGCCUUCGGGGUUGUAAAGCUCUUUCAGCAGGAACGAAACGGUGGUCCCUAAUACGGGCUACUAAUGACGGUACCUGAAGAAGAAGCACCGGCUAACUACGUGCCACGCAGCCGCGGUAAUACGUAGGGUGCGAGCGUUAAUCGGAAUUACUGGG